rnacentral:lncRNA from 10 species
CCUGUCCAAAGGGGGUGGUGAAAGAAGACAACUCCCACUGAAGGUGGGCAUAAAACAGACAGCACUGGAAGAAACCUACCAGUGUGAGAACUGACUGGGCAAUGCAACCUAGGAGAGACUUCACACCCAAAGAAAUAUCAAUAAUACUAAACAUGCCGAACAUGUCUGAAGAGAGAGGAAGGGACAAAAGAUAGGCAGAAUGUUAUGAAAAAAGGACAAGUAAACUUCGAAAAGAACGAAGGGAACUUCUAGAGAUGAAAAACUGUUCAUAAAAUCGUCAAACAAAUGUAAGCUGCAUGAGCCCAGUGACGUCUGUGUUGUUUACUGUCGUCUCUAACACUUUGGAGACAUGAUGUGAGCACUUUCAUUUUUCUCUAGGACCUGCAAAUUAUGUAGCCUAAUGCCCACGGGAAGCUCAAUGGAGCCUCUUGCCUCCACAAAAACCACUGAUUGAAAGAAACGACAGCAACUAGGAGCUCCUGUGACUCUGUUUCCAUUCCCAUUCCCUGGGAAAUGAUCAACAGCUCCGGUGUGUUCUGUUCUCUGAACCAGCCACCCCACCCUCACUGCCAGCGCAAACCUGCUCUCCUGUGACCACCUAUUCUCUGAAUGUUUCUACAUUUAGAGAAGUUCACCCUCAGAAGAAAGAAGGAAGCCGGGCGCGGUGGCUCACGCCUGUAAUCCCA